rnacentral:rRNA from 1 species
GUCCCAGCCGCCGCGGUAAUACGUAGGGCGCAAGCGUUAUCCGGGAAUUAUUGGGCGUAAAGAGCUCGUAGGCGGUUUGUCGCGUCUGCCGUGAAAGUCCGGGGCUCAACUCCGGAUCUGCGGUGGGUACGGGCAGACUAGAGUGAUGUAGGGGAGACUGGAAUUCCUGGUGUAGCGGUGAAAUGCGCAGAUAUCAGGAGGAACACCGAUGGCGAAGGCAGGUCUCUGGGCAUUAACUGACGCUGAGGAGCGAAAGCAUGGGGAGCGAACAGGAUUAGAUACCCUGGUAGUCCAUGCCGUAAACGUUGGGCACUAGGUGUGGGGGACAUUCCACGUUUUCCGCGCCGUAGCUAACGCAUUAAGUGCCCCGCCUGGGGAGUACGGCCGCAAGGCUAAAACUCAAAGGAAUUGACGGGGGCCCGCACAAGCGGCGGAGCAUGCGGAUUAAUUCGAUGCAACGCGAAGAACCUUACCAAGGCUUGACAUGAACCGGACCGCCGCAGAAAUGUGGUUUCCCCUUUGGGGCUGGUUUACAGGUGGUGCAUGGUUGUCGUCAGCUCGUGUCGUGAGAUGUUGGGUUAAGUCCCGCAACGAGCGCAACCCUCGUUCUAUGUUGCCAGCACGUGAUGGUGGGGACUCAUAGGAGACUGCCGGGGUCAACUCGGAGGAAGGUGGGGACGACGUCAAAUCAUCAUGCCCCUUAUGUCUUGGGCUUCACGCAUGCUACAAUGGCCGGUACAAAGGGUUGCGAUACUGUGAGGUGGAGCUAAUCCCAAAAAGCCGGUCUCAGUUCGGAUUGGGGUCUGCAACUCGACCCCAUGAAGUCGGAGUCGCUAGUAAUCGCAGAUCAGCAACGCUGCGGUGAAUACGUUCCCGGGCCUUGUACACACCGCCCGUCAAGUCACGAAAGUUGGUAACACCCGAAGCCGGUGGCCUAACCCCUUGUGGGAGGGUAUUUUGUCGAA